rnacentral:rRNA from 1 species
UACGUAGGGUGCAAGCGUUAAUCGGAAUUACUGGGCGUAAACGUGCGCAGGCGGUUUUGUAAGUCUGUCGUGAAAAUCCCCGGGCUCAACCUGGGAAUUGCGAUGGAGACUGCAAGGCUGGAGUCUGGCAGAGGGGGGGGUAGAAUUCCACGUGUAGCAGUGAAAAUGCGUAGAGAUGUGGAGGAACACCGAUGGCGAAGGCAG